rnacentral:lncRNA from 1 species
AGACGGGGCAACCAGCUCUGGAGGAAGGGCCGCCAAGGCACAGCAGGCCGCACGCAAGAAAGCAGGAGUGCCAGCAGCAACGACAUCCACGGCGCCAUCAACCUCCCCAUCAACCACCUCCAGUUCAGCUGCGGCAAAGGCAAAAAUAGCUGCAUUUCAUAGCAGUGUGCGACUCGCACAUCAGGCGCCACUUGCAGCCAGGCCACCAACGAAAGGUGCUCCUGCCGGGACGGCACCAACGCCAAGGCACAGCGGCAGAUUGGCGAGCCAACCCCUCAAUAUGACUGUUAGGCCAUCGAAGAAGGGAGAGGUUCUGGUAAUGAGAAAAUUGGGGAUCAUCACUCGCGAUUAGGAAGUUGAGUGAGUGACUGUCAAGGAGUUUGACAAGUUCUUUGCGACGACUAUGCAGCCAUGCCAUUUUGCAGCCCUUCAAGAUAUCUUCCUAGCAGCUAACAAUCUCUCUGACGCUGAACUCCUGCAGAUUGCCAGACAAGCGAGUGCCUCAGACACCACUUGCUGAGGCGCAUCACCAUCGCUAAUUGUCGUCAAGCACCAU